rnacentral:rRNA from 1 species
CCCGUGCGGCAGCUUACACAUGCAGUCGAACGGUCUCUUCGGAGGCAGUGGCAGACGGGUGAGUAACGCGUGGGAACCUACCUUUCGGUACGGAACAACAGUUGGAAACGACUGCUAAUACCGUAUACGCCCUAUUGGGGAAAGAUUUAUUGCCGAGAGAUGGGCCCGCGUUGGAUUAGCUAGUUGGUGGGGUAAUGGCCUACCAAGGCGACGAUCCAUAGCUGGUCUGAGAGGAUGAUCAGCCACACUGGGACUGAGACACGGCCCAGACUCCUACGGGAGGCAGCAGUGGGGAAUAUUGGACAAUGGGGGCAACCCUGAUCCAGCCAUGCCGCGUGAGUGAUGAAGGCCUUAGGGUUGUAAAGCUCUUUCGCCGGUGAAGAUAAUGACGGUAACCGGUAAAGAAGCCCCGGCUAACUUCGUGCCAGCAGCCGCGGUAAU